CGGUGCAGGCGAGCGAGGCCCCGGGCGCUCCCGACGGGGCGCCCCGCGGAGCCGCCCCCGACGUUCGCAGAGCCGGGGGGGGGGGGGGAGCGCCUCUCCUUUCACACACCCAGAAAAAACAAAACGCUUAGCAACCAACGUGGCAAGCACCAAAAAAGCACCUGCUUUCAUUCCAAAACCCAUCAUUUCCGAGUCUCUCUCCAGCCAAGGACACUCCGAGGAGCUCCGCGCACCAGCGGGCAGACGAGCAGCUCCGGUGUUUUAUUACACCGCACGUAAAGAGCAAGAUUUCUAGAGCUAGGUCUAAUGCAUUCACCACGCUUGCGUGCCCCGGGUCACCUAAAGAAAUAUGCGCUCCCGGGUGCCAGACAGAGGCCCUGUUAAAUAAAGGCUGGCACCAAACUUCACAGUCCUCGCUUGCGACGCCAAUUUAUAUCCCUCGCUACCGACUCCUGGAGCCAGCGGGGACGAGGAGCGGAGGCAGAAGCGCCUCCCCGGCUCGCAGAGCUCAGUCGGAAAAUGAAGCACAACAUAAAGAACAGAGCGACACAGCGCCAAAAGAUUUUAUCAGACAAGUCACAACAACCUUAAUAACCCCUUAGCGCUUCCUGGCAGGAAACAGCUCACCUUUCGCAGGAGGAAGCCGCAGCCGUUUACCGAGUAUUCCUGACCCAUAAUCUCUGCAAAUGACAUCACGAUUAGUCGCCAUGGAGACGCCUGGUGCAACAGCAGCACGUCUCAGAGAGAGAGAGAGAGAGAGAGAAGAGAGGAGAAAAGGCACCAGAACCUGUUUUCCAUCAGUCCUUGUAUGCUGCACUGUCUCUGUGUCUUUCGGGUCUCCGUCACCUCGAACCAGACCAGUGGAGACCGGUCUGGCACUUAUCAGUGCUGGUGCAUCCUAAGAAUGAAGGAAAACAAAGCUAUGAGACCAGUGUGAGCACCCUGGGCAACGCGAGUGCCGGCUGUUGUGGGUACUCAUUACAAGUUUAAGAUACGAAAUGUCAAUAAUAAGCAUCCAAAGGUCAUCCUGUGCCCCUUUAUCACAGAUGGAAAUGGUAUGUACAUGCCUGACACACCGGUAUAGCUGUAUGCUUGUAUGCUGAGUAAAUAUCCACUCUAAGUUCA